rnacentral:rRNA from 1 species
GAUGAACGCUGGCGGCGUGCCUAAUACAUGCAAGUCGAGCGAACGCACGAUAAGCUUGCUCCUCUGAUGUUAGCGGCUGACGGGUGAGUAACACGUGGAUAACCUACCUCUUAUACUGGGAUAACUUCGGGAAACCGGUUCUAAUACCGCCUGAUAUUUUGAACCGCAUGGUUCAAGAGUUAAAGACGCUCCUGCUGUCACUUAUAGAUGGAUCCGCGGUGCAUUAGUUAGUUGGUAAGGUAACGGCUUACCAAGGCAACGAUGCGUAGCUGACCUGAGAGGAUGAUCGGCCAAACUGGAACUGAGACACGGUCCAGACUCCUACGGGAGGCAGCAGUGGGGAAUAUUGGACAAUGGGCGAAAGCCUGACGGAGCAAGGCCGCGUGAGUGAAGAAGGCCUUCGGAUCGUAAAGCUCUGUUGUUAGGAAAGAAAAGAUGUGGAAGAAAAAGCGCAUGUCUUGACGGUACCUAAAGAAAAAGCAACGGCUAACUACGUG